GCGUGCUGCGGGCCAGCAGCGGGGUUAAUACGGGGGGGGCAAGUGGUAGUCGGAAGCACUGUGCGUAAAGGAUGCGUAGGCUGUUUAGCAAGGCAGGGGUGAAAUCCUAUGGCUCAACCAUAGAACUGCACUUGAAAGUGCUAGACUAGAGUAUGGGAGGGGGAGAUGGAAUUAGUGGUGUAGGGGUAAAAUCCGUAGAUAUCACUAGGAAUAUCUAAAGCGAAGGCGAUCUCCUGGAACAUUACUGACGCUAAGGCGUGAAAGCGUGGGGAGCAAACAGGAUUAGAUACCCUUGUAGUC
rnacentral:rRNA from 1 species